rnacentral:lncRNA from 1 species
CCGGGAGAAAGCAGGAGUCCUGAAACUUGGAAUUGUGAAGGGCUGCUGUCUGAAGUUGAGGCUGUUUUCUGCAGAUGGCACAGGGCCAUUGAAGGUCUUUGCCUUAUUAGUUCAUGAUCAGAUCUUUGGCUGCCGUGGUGUGGAAGUGAAUUGAUGCUGUAGCAGGAAGACACACCAGGCUGCUUGCAAUAGCGAGGUCACUGGAGGGCAUUUUCAAGAAUAAGUAAUGACCUGUGAAAUGUCACUGACAGCAGCAACAAUAACAACCCAAAGACAGCAAAGGGAAGGAGGGAGAAUGCUGGGGCUUGCAGUCUCCUGCCCGCCCCUGGACAGCCUCAGUGUGGCCAAGUAGAACUGAUCCUACAUUUCUGAGAAAAAUGCCACCCAGACUUCCUCCUCUCGUGUCACAUAGGAUUACCCACUGUUUCCACUCAUCAGAUGCCAACAAUUUGGGGACAUUUAAUGGGUCCCUCCUUCCGGCGAAUCCCCUUGCUGGUGUGGUGGGAGCAGUGGUGGAGGUGAGUGGGGCACAUGUUCUCAGGGCCUGCAGUCUCGAUGGAGAGGCUGGGUGUGAAAAGCACUACUGAAGAGGUACAGACUGCCAGGGAAGCGGAGUUGAGGCCCUUCAGGGGAUGAAGAGGGAGUUCUGGACGUUUAGCACAUGGAAUGUCCACCGUAAUCACUCAGAACAAUUGCUGAGGGCGCCCUGCUUACAUUUACCAUGUACUGGGUUCGUGGGGGGGGGGGCAGGGAUGUUGACUGUGUAGCCCCUGAAACACAACCACAGUAGGGCACAUUUUUGUUACCACCUUCCCAACCCACAGCCCUCCGAAAGGUUUCCUUGAAACCAGUUUGGAACAAAAAAGGUAGCGCUGUUUCCAUACCCUGCUUGUACCCCAAGAGCUCCUUGACCCACACACCACAGGAGACUGAGUUGUGGACUGAGAAAGAAAAGGAGACUGGUGUGUAUGGUGUUUCUGAGUUCCUGCCCUCCCCAGGGCCUGGGGGUGUCCGUGUUCAUCUUCUGCCUCUGUUUCCCAACUGUUCCUUUCCCCUAAUGAGGUAGUGGGCAGGGUCUGAGCUUGGGCCCUGUGCAAGGUCACUGCUGUUGGGAAUGAGAGCGGGGAGACCCUUGUGCUUCCUUCCAUGAUCAUUCAGGCCCUGUGGGCUGUGCAGAGAUAGAGUGGUCCAAAGGGAAGUCUACUGGAUGGAGCAAAAGCUAAGAGGAGCCAAGGUAGUGGAAUCUGUCUCUACCUUUUUGGAUUAUUUUGUCAUUCGUGUAUUAGCGUCUUCACUAUUGAAGGAGGAUCUGUAGGUCAGGACUGACUUUGGCGAUUAAUGAAAAAAUCAGAGGAUAAUGAGGGAAAUUUAAAAAAAAGAAAGGGUUUAGGCUUCUCAAAGAAGAAAAGGCACUUUAUAAAUCCAAGGCAGUCACCGUCUCUUGGGUGGGAAAUACCAAUGGGCUCAUCCACAUUGGCCUCACUUGUGUGUGCCAGUGCCCAGCGAUUCCCCCUCUUGCACAUUUAGGCUGUCAGAUCAUUAGGCUGCGAGAAGCAAGCACUUCCCUUGAGGAAACACAGAGUCGCU